GGAGGAGGAACAGGAGAAGAGAUGAUUGAAAGCCAGGGAGCAGCCAGAGGUCCCGACAUGUUUUCAGACACAGGGAGCGUAGAAUAUUGUAGCUCUAUGAUAGCUCCUAGAGAGGGAUCGGGCCGUCUUUCCCAAGCAUAAGCAACACGCAUCAAACCUCUAUUCUCCAUAUCUAGCAUCAUACUUCUGCCUCUUGCCUCUGUGUUCAAGAUGUAUGAUUAUUUUUAACUUCUUAUUUCUGCUUCCUGCCUCCAUGUUCGAGUUUUUCAUGGUUAUUUUGUUUUUGGGUGGCUGCUUGUUAGUUAGCCACCUCUUUCCGCCGUCCAGUAGGAGGAUAUAGAUGAAAGGCAGGCAGAAUGCUCGGUAGAGGGAUGCCGUCUACUUAAAGGUCAUUUAUUUCCUCUGUCACUUUGUUAGGGCGAGGGAGGAAAAGACGAAACGCAGUGUUUUUAUGACCCCCAGUGUUGGUAGGCGGCUUCCUAGGAAGAAUAUGCUUCUUCUUCUCUGUUUAAUUCAUGUCCUCGGAGGUGUUGUGUUAGGUGUUGUGUUAGGUGUUGUGUUAGGUGUUGUGUUAGGUGUUGUGUUAGGUGUUAUGUUAG
ensembl:lncRNA